rnacentral:rRNA from 1 species
UACGGAGGGGGCAAGCGUUACUCGGAAUUAUUGGGCGUAAAGGGCGCGUAGGCGGUCGUGCGCGUCGGAGGUGAAAUCCCCGGGCUUAACCUGGGAACUGCAUUUGUGACUGCAUCGCUGGAGUACGGCAGAGGGGGAUGGAAUUCCGCGUGUAGCAGUGAAAUGCGUAGAUAUGCGGAGGAACACCGAUGGCGAAGGCAAUCCCCUGGGCCUGUACUGACGCUCAUGCACGAAAGCGUGGGGAGCAAACAGG